AAACCCUCUCAGGCCCGCUUCCCAAGGUGUGCCGCUCAGAUGGAUCUCUUCUGCCCUAGCUCGGCCGCUCCUUCCUCCUUCCUCUGAAGCAGCUCUGCUCUCUCUCCAUGGUCUUGAUGGUGACUGCUCCUCCAUCGUGUAUCAGGCCUCCUCCACAUCCGCCGUCGUUACCGUGUAAGCCCCUUCCGCUUGAAGCUUGCUCUCUAAUCAUCUUUCCGGAACCUCCAGACCCUACAGCCGCCCUCAUUCGCCUCCUCGCUCCUCUACACAUCCUCGAACCUUCCGUCAGUUCUUCGGUUCAUGUGGUUGCAGUUACUCCUUUAAGUUUCUUUGCAACGACCAAAGGUUUAACCAGAUCUGUUUUCGUAUCAUUUGGAGUGCGAGUUUCUACUACGUGUAGAUUUCAGUCCAGUCCCACUUUCCAGAUCGAACCAUGGUUUCUCUUUGUAGGAACCUCUCUUCGUUCAAAAGGUCUUCUCUGUUUCUUCUUGCAACAAGCCCUACAUGGAUGAGUAUUACCUUGUUUUAGGUAUUAGUUGUGUCAAGAUGAAUCAUUUAGCUCAGAAUGAGGAUGUUGCCCUCUCUUUGAAUCUUCUCUUACCUCUGGUUGAGGAUGUUACAAGCUCUCUGCCUUUACCUCAGUACGAGGAUCUGACUUUACCUCAUACCAUCUCUAAUGUAUUUUUCUAUUUUUUCCUCUAAAAUAGGGAAACUAUAUAAUAGAGAUGAGUUUGUCUCCAAUGUAUUCCUCUAAAAAUGAAUAUUCAUGAUAUAUUUCUAAUUUUACAAAUAGUAUCUUUUAUUUGUGAAAGUUGAAAACCAACCCAAUUUAGUGUAACAUUCAUAAAAUUACACUGAAUAUUUUUAUAGAAACUAUUAUGUAAAUAAAAAAUAUGAUUAUAUAUUUAUAUAAACAGUAAAUUUUCACUAACAAAUAUUUAUUUUGGUUAUAAUUGUUAAAGUAAAAAAUUAAAGGAUCAUUUUGUAAAUAAAAAAGUAUGUCUCUAUUAUAGAGGAAUAUUAUUUCUUCCUCUAAAUAUAGAGGUGAAAAUAGCAAUCUCUAUUUUAGAGAAAGAAAUAGAAUAGGGUUGGAGUGAUUUUAUCUCUAAAUGCUAUUAUAGAGGUGAGUUGGAGAUGCUAGUACGAGGAUGUUGCUCUGUUUUGUAAGACAGGCCCACAACACAGUGGCCCAAGAAGAGCCCAAGACUCAUCUUCCUCACUUGCCAUCGUCGAAGGAGAUUUUGUCAUGUUGCAGAGUUGAAGAGAAGAGUACGGAGAGCCUUAUCCGGAACCGUUACACUCCGCUCCAAUCCUUAUGUGCUGGCUAAUCUACUUUAUGCUUUAACAGCUGUGUAUUUAAAGUAGUCUAGAUCCUUCAUUGGAUUCUAUAUAUUGUCUUGUAAUCCCAUCUAUUGAGUUACUCUGUAUGAGGUUCGUAUUAGGACCUUUGUCUUGUCGGCUCUGGUUUCUAUGGUUGCAGAAAUUGAUGCUUUUAAAAAUGGAGGUUUUGGAUGGUAUACCCAUGGUAUGUAUGUAGCACAUGGCUCUCAAUGCUCUAUUCUAUAUGCGGUUUCAACCUUUGCUGUCCAAACCUUGACGAUGUAGGAAGCUCUUCUUGCAGGAUCGUGUGCUGGACUCUCAAAGCUUUAAGUAUUUUCAGACUCUAAUGUCUUUUUCCCUGCCCUGCAUUCAGGGAUGAGUUUGAAUGGGAUCGCAGGUUGUCUUCUUGACAUCACAAACCUUGCCACUCCCUUCACUCUGUUAUCAUUUAAGUUUUAUCAGUAUGUUUGGCUGUUGCUUUUGCUAUGUACAUGUGUUUUUCAGACUAUGUUUCACUUUUACUCUCUUUUGAAUUAUGAAUUAAAGAAACCCUUGACAAAAAAAAAAAA